rnacentral:lncRNA from 1 species
CUUGAACUUCUUGCUACAGAUACAUCUCCAAGAAGUGAUCAAGGAUUUUCAACAGUGCACGACUAUGUAGAAUGCCCAACAAUACUCGACCUUGAGUGAUAAAUAGAUCUAUCCCUGAUUUUCUCGCCAAGAUUUAUUGAUUCCUGAGGCUGAGGUUUGAGGUACCACAACCGGAAGACCUUCAUUUGUGCAUUACAAAAUAGUCUCUCAGCAACAUCACUUGAGAGAUCAUACAUAAGGCUAGCCUGAUUUGGCUUUUGCACCAUGAUAUUGCUAAUUCCAUUGGCUGAAGAAGCUCCAGCAACACCAAGUGCACAUUACUGCAUUUUAAGUUCACCUGGAUCCAAAUGGACAGAAGCAAAAAAUUUAUGACUUCACUAGUCUAAUAGCAUAAAGAGUAAAAAUCUCUAGAGAGAAAGCAAGUGCAGUCACAUCAAAAAAAAACAUAAGAUAAUAUCAUACCUAAAGGAACUGGCAUUCCUGAAGUACUAGAUUUACUGUCAGAUUGCAAACCCUUUGGUUCACAGUUGCAAAAGGAAGCAAAGCUUUCACUACUAGAAGCUAAUUUUUCAUCACUUUUCAGCUGAACUCACCAAUGAGCGUUCUGACUUAAAUGAACUCUUCCUUUUAAGUAAGUUCUCUACUCUUUUUCUCGUUUUAAUCCUUUUAGAUCCUGACUAUGAGAAAAUUUAGGGAAUAACAUCUCAACUUCUGAUUCUGAAGGAUUUAAACAACCUGAAUUCACAUAAUUAAACAAUAUUGAUUUGCUUAUUGAUCAGAUAGCCCCAUCUUUCUGCUUUUUUGAUUUCUGCUUUUGAAGAAAAACUUUGUCAACAAGUUCAACUUUCAGUUUUACAUUUAUAGAAUUGAAUGAAUUUGACUUUAAUAGAGCACAUGUUAGGAAAACACGGUUGCGACUUAAGAUAAAAGUCAAGAUAGCAGUCAUGAUAAGCAACAUAAAGCGAUCAUCCAAGAAUACAAGAGAAAAGAGUAAGACAACAUAAUCAUUAAGUGAAAAAAAAUUACCACAAAAUGUCUACCGUCGUGAACCUAUAGGAGAUGAUGCAACUUUAGAGGAAUCAUUAGUGGCACAAUUGCCAGAAGACAAUGGAUGAGUACUGGCCUCACUUUUCCCUUAUUGAUGGUCUUGAAUGAUGAAUCACGAGAAAGUGUUGCUAUUCUCCCGGGACUAGAUGUCUUUGGUGAAUCCAUAGUUGGCUCUUGGAGAGUUGUACACCAUUCAUGCACCUUACAGGCAUCUCAUUGACUUCUGAUCUUUCAUUAUCCAUUAUUAAUUACAAAUGUGCCACAAUGGGUGUCUAUAAAAGGGGUGGUAGCUUAUUUGUGUAACAUAUGAGUAGAAAAGAAAAAAGAGAAGUGUAAGAGGGAGUUCUAAAUUGUAUGGAUGUGAAAGUAGAUGUUGUAUCUGAUGUGUGGAACUCUAAAGUUGACCAAUUGUGUGGAAAUUGCUGUUUAGAGAUAAGUUUGAAUGGAAAAAAAGAACGGUCGAACGAGUUGCACAAUAUCAUUAAACCUUUGUAGAGGUGUGAGAUUGAUUUUGACACUAGAAAAGAAUGGUCAGUAUUCGGGUCGCCAUUAAACGUUCUUCUGCUUUUGCAUCAAAUCUUGGAUGGUAUGGAGUGAGUGUUUUGUUAAGUUGGUGGGGUUUAUCAUGGGUGAAUCCCAAAAAUUAAGAGCGGUUAGAUGUUUGAUGGUUUGCAUUGAGAUACAGGAUCUGGAGGAGAUUUGGGAAGCCUUUUCGUUGCGACAACGUGGAGCCUAUGGCUAAUCAAGAAUGGGGUAGUCCUUAACAAUUCUGAAGUUCAACGGCAAGAUAUGUAAAAUAGGAAGAUCACGUACAAUAGCUUACAAUACAUAAGAUAGACAUAAGUGCGCCAAAUCGAAAAUAAAACAAUAAAUCGAUAAUGCAACAAAACCUUACCUCAAAGAGGAUUCAAGAGAGACCAACAAAUUCAAGCCACCAGAAGCUUCUUAAAAUUGUUGGUGUUACAUAUUAAAGACAGAGAAGGUGAAGAAGAUGUUAAAUAAGAAAAAAAAUGGAACGUAAAAGGAGAAAAAGUCAUUGAAAUAAGAAGUAGAAUAUGUAGGAGUAGAAGAGUAAACAGUGACAAAAGCAAUAGAGGUCUAAGAAUUAAAUACAUUAAAGUUCAAAGCUCUUCCACGAUAGUGGGAAAUCAAAAAUGAAUCGUUGAUAACAGAGCAAUCCAAGAUUGUGGAUACGGUUUCUAUGCUGAAAAGGUAUCUCUCGGCCUGUACCAAAAGGAUGCUAUUUUAUUUGUUAAAUGAACUAAAUCAUGGGCUCAGAUAGGUAGAUAGCAUUCAUUGCAGCCAUUACUAAAAUGCAGAAAUAGCCCACAACUGACCAAAAGUAUUAUCAAUUGCAAAUUCACAAUGAAGAUUGGGAAAACAACCUCCAACAAAAUUAUAAAUUGUAGCUUGCAUAUUUAAUUUCUGGAUCUAAUUUUCAGGUCAUAAACAACUGUAAUAAUACCGUCUACUAUUCGAAUAAAUAACUCAAAAAAGAAUAGAAGCAAGUAUAACUGCACUAAGCAAUGAUAUUGAACUACUCAUUACCCAGUAAGCUUUAGCCAAAAGCAGUGCAAGUCAAGUAUCUGACCAACUUUGACAUAUGGUUCAAGGUCCAAAGUGGCAUCUCAUGGCACUUAUAUCUGUUUAAUUAGCAUCGAUACUCUUUCCACCUACAUGAAAAGUGAUAAACACAACUAUCAUCUGAUAGAGAGAGGAUCUCAUGGUCUUGAACACACAAGAAGGAGCAGUAAAUAGAAAGUAAGUCACAACUGGAUCUCAAAUUCAAAUGCGUCGUACGCCAAGAGAAGAACAAAAAUCAGAAUAUUUCUCUCAUUUUCAUAAAGUUGAGACCAUGAAAUCACAAGAUUUUAUUGCCAAGACUGCCCUUUAAGUGGCAUAAUCAAUAAACCUUUAUUUACCUCAAUGAAAAUACCAAAGUAAUCUUUUUUUUUUACUACAACUCCUAUGCUAUGUUUAGCAUGCAAUAGAAAAUAACACUCAAAUGAAUAUUUAGGGUCCACAUACAUAUAAACGAAGACAAUACAAACCAGAGACCCCACCCUUAAUGCCAUUCUAGAACAACACCACGAAGAAAAGACUGCUUCGGUCCAGAACCUGAUCUUUCCAUAUUAGCAUUCUAUAAAUAAUAAAAUGUGCUUCAGCAUUGGGAACAAUGAGUUUGCUAGUUGUCCCCAAGAAAAUUUCCAUUAUUUAUCUUGGUAACUGCUUGGUGCAUUUUGUAGGGAGGGUUACAAGUUCACUGAGACUAGAUGUGGUAAGGAAGAGGCUCAGACAACCUACUAGUAGAAAGAAAAAAGUAAAUAUGCUACGAGUGUUGAGCAACUUCUCAUAAUUCUCAUUCAGAAUAUGAAAUGCAAACAAUUAGUUUCGUGAAGUUGAUCCUCUUUAAACAAAAUGCAAAUAGUUCAGCAAUUGAUCAGUUAAUAUCUUUUAGAAUCAAGAGGGAUGUGAUGCAAUGCGGGAGAAGGGUAAUAGAGUAGUAUGGCAUCUAAAGUGGCACGAGCACCCCCAAUAUGGUGCAAAGGAUAGACAUAAAAGGCCAAGUCACUGUCUGCCUUGUUUUUUAGAGGAGUUUAAGAUGCAACCAUUAAUUGAAGAAAACCAUUGAACUUUUUAAACCCAUUUGGCCAAUUUUUUUCUAAGAGUAUUUAAAAAUUAUGUAUAAUGAGUUGCAAUUAGUAAUAUUCUAUGUAAUAUUUUGAUAUUUUAAAAUAUAUUUUUCAUAAUUAACUUUCAAACACCUACAUAGUAGCUGAAGGGGUAAAAAAAAAAUUGCUUUUAUUAUUUAUAAUAAAAUAUAUUAUAUUAUUUAUUAAUUAUAAAACCGGUUGAACCGUGGUUGAACCAUUAAACUAUUGAACCGGUGUCUUGACUGGUUCAAUGUCCGAUCCGGUUCUGAUAACUAUGCUUUUUAUUCUUUAUAUCCUUCUCAUAAUAUAAUAUUAAACGUAUUCAAAAACAUUAUAUAAUGCAAAUACUUAAUGCAUAUCAUGUCUAAAACAAAAAAUUUCUGAAGGUUUUAAACAACCUGAAUUCAAAGAAUUAAACGAUAUUAAUUUGUUUACUGAUCUGAUAGCCCAUCCUUCACAUCCAGGGUGAAGAAAAAUUUCUUCAACAAGUUUAACUUUCGGUAUUGCAUUUAUGGAAUUAAAUGGAUUAGAUUUAUAUAGAAUACCUGUUAGGAAAACAGGGUUGCGACUUAAGAUAAAUUCAAGAUAACAGUCAUGAUAAGCAACAUAAAACUCUCAUCCAAUAAUACAAGAGAAAAGGGUAAGAAAACAUAAUCAUUAAGUAAAAAAACAUUACCACAAGGUGUCUGCAGUCGUGAACCUGUAAGAGAUAAUACAACUUUAGAGGAAUCAUUAGUGGCACAAGUACCAGAAGACAAUGGAUGUACUGGCUUCACUUUCCCUUAUUGAUGGUCUUGAAUGAUGAAUCAUGAGAAAGUGUUGCUAUUCUCCCGGGACUGGAUGUCUUUGGUGAACCCACAGUUGGCUCAAGAACCUGCCUUUUCACAGCUGAAGCAACUUCAAUGUUCUCUGCAGUUUGGAAUAUCUUUAUUUGUUUUAUCAUUUGAAUCUUUUUUAUCCAACUUCACAAAGAUGUUAGCAUUCGAGGCAGUUGCAAGCUCAGAAGAUUGAGUUUUGUCACUCCCAUACGCUGCAAAAAAUUUAUCUUGCUUCAAGAUUUUGAUUUCUUCAUCAAACUUGUAUUCUUCAAAAAAACCAAUCCCCUUUUGGAAUUUCGUCUACCAUUCCAGCAUGCAAUGGAUACAUGACAGAAAUAAAGUUCAGAAUACCUAGCAAACAAAUAAAACGUACAAACAAUAUGUUGCCAAUAAAGUUUCAGAAAAAGUAUUAGGAAAAGCUCUGCCAUCACUGCACCUAUGUGAAAUCAAAAGCAAAGAUAAAACCUGAAUCGGAAUAUGG